GACGAACGCUGGCGGCGUGCUUAACACAUGCAAGUCGAACGGAAAGGCCCUGCUUGCAGGGUACUCGAGUGGCGAACGGGUGAGUAACACGUGGGUGAUCUGCCCUGCACUUCGGGGUAAGCCUGGGAAAAUGGGUCUAAUACCGGAUAUGAGCCAUUUUUCGGGUGAUGGUUGGAAAGUUUUUUGGGUGUAGGGUGAGCUCGCGGGCUAUCAGCUUGUUGGUGGGGUAAUGGCCUACCAACGCGGCGACGGGUAGCCGGCCUGAGAGGGUGGACGGCCACAUUGGGACUGGGAUACGGCCCAGACUCCUACGGGGGGCAGCAGUGGGGAAUAUUGCACAAUGGGCGCAAGCCUGAUGCAGCGACGCCGCGUGGGGGAUGACGGCCUUCGGGUUGUAAACUCGUUUCGCUAGGGACGAAGCUUUUUGUGACGGUACCUAGAUAAGAAGCACCGGCUAACUACGUG
rnacentral:rRNA from 1 species